rnacentral:rRNA from 1 species
AUUGAACGCUGGCGGCAUGCCUUACACAUGCAAGUCGAACGGCAGCACGGGGGCAACCCUGGUGGCGAGUGGCGAACGGGUGAGUAAUGCAUCGGAACGUGCCCAGUAGUGGGGGAUAACUAGUCGAAAGAUUAGCUAAUACCGCAUACGACCUAUGGGUGAAAGCGGGGGACCUUUACCGGCCUCGCGCUAUCGGAGCGGCCGAUGUCUGAUUAGCGAGUUGGCGGGGAAAAGCCCACCAAGGCGACGAUCAGUAGCUGGUCUGAGAGGACGACCAGCCACACUGGGACUGAGACACGGCCCAGACUCCUACGGGAGGCAGCAGUGGGGUAAUUUUGGACAAUGGGCGCAAGCCUGAUCCAGCCAUGCCGCGUGCGGGAAGAA